CUGUGUGGUGUGACUUUGUGGUACUCCUUGGUUCCUGGCUGACAAUAUCCUUCCAUCUGAGCUGUGAUGCUCAGAUGUUGUCAAGACUCAAACUGGCUCUCCUGGUGCCUGUAUUUUCCCUCACGGUCUAAGCUGCACUGGGACCCUAUCCCUCAUCUCUGGUCCACCGGCAACACACACACCUGCCGACUCACCGAUUGCUCAGCAACCCACCCACCAGCAAUAAUUAGACACCCUCUCGGAAGAAAGCCCUUGACUGUGAAGGCCCAGCCCUUGGAGCCUCCGAAGCUCCCAGAAGCUUCCAUGGGACAGGAUCAGAAUCUGUGUAGCGGCCAGCCCUGAUGACACCCAGCUCCCUGCAGUGUUCUAGCCCCUCAGGGACACUGCAACAGCUUCCUCAGGCUCUAAGUAUGCCCUGCUCCCGAGACUCCCAGCCAGCCCAGAAUAGGCCAGGCCAACCCCAACCCUCUGUCCUUCCUACGUCCUGAAGUCAAGUUUGUGGGUGCUGCCUCACAGAACCAGGGCUACACCAGAGUGGACAUGAAUCCAGUGGUGGUGUUAGGAGAGUCUUGUUUGGGUGUGCGAUUUUUUUUUUUCGUUUUCCUUUUCUCUGCCUUUUUCCCUAUUUUAAAAUAAAUGUUUAUCACUGUUAGAGAGAGA